UAUGGGGCUUCGUACGACAACAGUUGAGAUGGUUUUUCCCGAUCGUCUUCAUUUUAAAUCCCAAAGCUCUAUAUUACAGCAUUGAAAAGAUGUGGCACCAGAGAGCAGCGUCCCGUCUCGCCCUCUCGCGCGAUGGGAACUCUCUCCUUCCAUCUCCCUCGCACCUCUCUCUCUCUCCAUCUCCCGCCCACCUCUAUCUCAAACCCUAUGGCUGGCCCCUCUCUCUCAAACCCUCUGGCUGCCCCUCUCUCUCAAACUCUCUAAAACUCGCCCCUCUUUCAAUCUCUCCCCUGCCUACCCUUCUCAGCCCCUCUAUAUACACCUCUCGUUGCCCAUCCCUCUAAUUUUGGGGUUUUGUUUGUUUUGGGUUUUGGUGGUCGGGUACAGUUACAAAGCCAACUGAUGAUGUCCCAACAGCCCAGAAGCUCGAAACCGCAAUGGCAAGAAUUCUGGGUAAUCUCUCGUUGCCCAUCUCUCUCAAUCUCCCUCUAUGCCCCCCUCCCCCCCCCUAAAACGCAAAAUUUCUGAAAUUCUAUAUGCUCUAUUGUUGUUGCAAACGCGAUUGGAACAAUCUUCGGUGGAUUUGAGACGAUAUUUGCAAACCUCUACUUAUGUGGUUAGGUUUUUUAUGUACGGUCAGUUGAAAGAUUUUUAUGGACCGCACCAUAUCAGUCGAUGUGACAUCUUCCCCGUGCCCAAUUGUAGACAGCACGAAUGCCACCAUUGAGACCAUGGAGCAGGUUCCUCAUCUUUCAAAAAUGCGAGAUGGGGAACUUGACUCAUCAACCAAUGGCCUACAAAUAGAAGAACCAUAUGUAGGGAUGAAGUUUGGUUAUGAGAAUGAGGCAUAUGAGUAUUAUAAGGAGUAUGCAUUAGCCAAAGGUUUUGGCACCCGUAAGGGGACUACCCACAAUAAAGAUGGUCAAAGGAUUGAUAGAGAGCUCAAUUGUAAUAAGGAAGGGUUUCGCCGAGAGAAAGAUCGAGUUGAGUGCAACGAAGUGAUCUGAAAUUGGUGGAAAGCAACUGCCUGAUGGCGAAUAUUGGAGCUGACAAUGUUUUGGGCUACUCAUGUGUGUUAUAGAACAUGAAUAUGAGUUGAAAUACAGUGUGGUUUUGUGUGUUGCAUUGGGUACAACACAGAUCCAUUGGGAUUCUAUUUUACUUGUACAGUUGUGUGUUGCAUUUUGUAUGCUGCUGAAUUUUGUAUGCUUACUGAAUUUUGUAUGUUCACAGAUAUCACUACCACUAAUGUAGGCUUGCUACUGAAUUUUGAAUGCUUG